rnacentral:rRNA from 1 species
UAGGGAAUCUUCCGCAAUGGGCGAAAGCCUGACGGAGCAACGCCGCGUGAGUGAUGAAGGUCUUCGGAUCGUAAAACUCUGUUAUUAGGGAAGAACAAAUGUGUAAGUAACUAUGCACGUCUUGACGGUACCUAAUCAGAAAGCCACGGCUAACUACGUGCCAGCAGCCGCGGUAAUACGUAGGUGGCAAGCGUUAUCCGGAAUUAUUGGGCGUAAAGCGCGCGUAGGCGGUUUUUUAAGUCUGAUGUGAAAGCCCACGGCUCAACCGUGGAGGGUCAUUGGAAACUGGAAAACUUGAGUGCAGAAGAGGAAAGUGGAAUUCCAUGUGUAGCGGUGAAAUGCGCAGAGAUAUGGAGGCACACCAGUGGCGAAGGCGACUUUCUGGUCUGUAACUGACGCUGAUGUGCGAAAGCGUGGGGAUCAAACAGG